GAUGAACGCUGGCGGCGUGCCUAAUACAUGCAAGUAGAACGCUGAGGGCGGAGCUUGCUCUUCUGGUCGAGUUGCGAACGGGUGAGUAACGCGUAGGUAACCUGCCUGGUAGCGGGGGAUAACUAUUGGAAACGAUAGCUAAUACCGCAUAACAACACCUACUGCAUGAUAACUGUUGGAAAGGUGCAACUGCUCCGCUACCACUCGCACCUUCGGUGCAUUAGCUUGUUGGUGAGGUAACGGAUCACCAAGGCGACGAGCCAUAGUCGGCCGGAGAUGGGGGUCAGCCGCACUGAGAGGGAGACCCGGCCCAUACUGCUACGGGUGGCAGCAGUAGGGAUACGGGGGCAAGGGGCGGAAGUCUGACCGAGCAACGCCGCGGGAGUGAAGAAGGUUUUCGGAUCGGAAAGCUCGGUUGUAGGGGAAGAACGAGUGUGAGAGUGGAAAGUUCACACUGUGACGGUAACUUAUCAGAAAGGAACGGCUAACUACGUG
rnacentral:rRNA from 1 species